ACUCCUACGGGAGGCAGCAGUGGGGAAUAUUGCACAAUGGGGGAAACCCUGAUGCAGCCAUGCCGCGUGUGUGAAGAAGGCCUUCGGGUUGUAAAGCACUUUCAGUAGGGAGGAAGGUAGUGUAGUUAACACCUGCAUUAUUUGACGUUACCUACGAAGAAGAGACCGGCUAACUCCGUGCCAGCAGCCGCGGUAAUACGGAGGGUGCGAGCGUUAAUCGGAAUUACUGGGCGUAAAGCGCAUGCAGGCGGCCUGUUAAGUCAGAUGUGAAAGCCCGGGGCUUAACCUCGGAAUUGCAUUUGAAACUGGCAGGCUAGAGUCUUGUAGAGGGGGGUAGAAUUUCAGGGUGUAGCGGUGAAAUGCGUAGAGAUCUGAAGGAAUACCAGUGGCGAAGGCGGCCCCCUGGACAAAGACUGACGCUCAGAUGCGAAAGCGUGGGGAGCAAACAGGAUUAGAUACCCUGGUAGCGUCGUCU
rnacentral:rRNA from 1 species